GGGAAUCACGGUUUUUUUCCUCGAUGAAAAGGUAAGUUAAUCUUCGAUCUAUCACACUUAUUUAACAUAAUUGUUUUAAUUUAUUUCCUGAUUCAUUGUUGGAUAAUACUAUUUGCAGAUUCCGUGAUUCAUGGGUUUACUCCCGUCGGACGUGCUAAUCAUUACAUGCCAUCUUUGAAAGCUGAUUUCAUUGUGAAAGUCGAUCGUUUUGAGGUUGCUAGGUGCUCCAAGUGAUUGCGAACACAAACCUAGAAAUUGGUAAACAUAGCAUAUUUGGCAGCUCCAAGCAAGAUUACAAUCAGGCAAAUUCAAGUGGAAUGACAUACCAACAACUGAAACUGCCUCUGUCAUGGAUAGCUCUCUCCCAAGAAUUGCAUUGACUAUGGUUUCUGGGAAGAAAAAGAUCUUGCUCCUGAAAAAAGACCGUGACAACCCUGUUAACUCUCCAUUCCAAGCGGAACAGCAGAUGGAAGCUAAUUUUUCUGGAAGCUCCUCGACUUCAAGACAGAAUCAGAAGAUAGAUGUUGGUGGGAGAGGUUAAUCAAGGGAAUACUUCAGAGAAGUGAGACAGCCUAGCCAGACUUCAUCUUUUGUACAGCCUGAGCAGAGAGUGGAACCCACAAAACACGAGAGAAGAAAAAACAAAACACGAAAUUAACAUAUUCAGAUCUUCUCUCUUGCAUGUCUAACAUCUGGCGCCGACGAAACUCAACACCCACGGCAGAAGAAGCUGAUGCAAGUAAACCUCUCAUCAAUCAUGCUUAAAAUCAAUCUACGCUUUUCAAUCUCACAAACUAAGAAACAAUUUUACCUACAUGAAUCGGGAAAUUAGUGCCCACAUUCCCGACAUAGAGAAAAAAUGAGUUGAAGUCCUAACAGUUUUUUCAGUAUUAGACUAAACCACAGAUUCAAGGCCUAGUUAUUUUGAAACCCUAACAUUUUAAAUCCAAUUUUAUUAUAUUUUUCCAUGUAUUAUUUGAUUUAUAUACAAACAACUACCUAAGUAAACACUAACAAGUUCCAUCACCCUCAACUUUGAACAUAUAAGAUAUAAAAAUUUCAACAUAUGACUUCGUCGUUCAUUCUUAUAUCAAACUCAUCAACCUAUGUAAUAUCCAAAGUCCCAUCAAUCACAUUAUAGACAAAAAAACAAUAAAAUCUCGUAAACAAAACUAUACAAUACAGUAAACAAAACUAUACAAUACAGUAA